rnacentral:rRNA from 1 species
UACAAAGGGGGCAAGCGUUGUUCGGAAUUACUGGGCGUAAAGGGCGCGUAGGCGGCCCGCUAAGUCGAACGUGAAAUCCCCGAGCUCAACUCGGGAACUGCGUCCGAUACUGGUGGGCUUGAAUCCGGGAGAGGGAUGCGGAAUUCCAGGUGUAGCGGUGAAAUGCGUAGAUAUCUGGAGGAACACCGGUGGCGAAGGCGGCAUCCUGGACCGGCAUUGACGCUGAGGCGCGAAAGCUAGGGGAGCAAACGGG